rnacentral:rRNA from 1 species
UACGUAGGUGGCAAGCGUUAUCCGGAACUAUUGGGCGUAAAGCGCGCGCAGGUGGUUUCUUAAGUCUGAUGUGAAAGCCCACGGCUCAACCGUGGAGGGUCAUUGGAAACUGGGAGACUUGAGUGCAGAAGAGGAAAGUGGAAUUCCAUGUGUAGCGGUGAAAUGCGUAGAGAUAUGGAGGAACACCAGUGGCGAAGGCGACUUUCUGGUUUGUAACUGACACUGAGGCGCGAAAGCGUGGGGAGCGAACAGG